UACGGAGGGUGCAAGCGUUAAUCGGAAUUACUGGGCGUAAAGCGCACGCAGGCGGUUGGAUAAGUUAGAUGUGAAAGCCCCGGGCUCAACCUGGGAAUUGCAUUUAAAACUGUCCAGCUAGAGUCUUGUAGAGGGGGGUAGAAUUCCAGGUGUAGCGGUGAAAUGCGUAGAGAUCUGGAGGAAUAACGGUGGCGAAGGCGGCCCCCUGGACAAAGACUGACGCUCAGGUGCCAAAGCGUGGGGAGCAAACAGU
rnacentral:rRNA from 1 species